rnacentral:rRNA from 1 species
CCCUUAGAUGUUCUGGGCUGCACGCGUGCUACACUGAUAUUGCCAAUAUGUCAUUCUUAUCCGAAAUGGAUUGGGUAAUCAAGUAAUGAAAUUUCAUGCUUGGAAUCGGUAAUUGCAAUUUUAUCGUGAACGAGGAAUUCCUAGUAAGCACUAGUCAUCAGCUAAUGUUGAUUAUGUCCCUGCCCUUUGUACACACCGCCCGUCGCUACUACUGAUUGAAGUUUUCGGUGAAUUUACUGGAGAUCCCUUUUGAAGGUGGUUCGCCACUGGAAGAAGUAUUCAAAAGUAAAUGAAUCGAAUGCUUUAGAGGAAGGAGAAGUCGUAACA